GGUGAACGCUGGCGGUAGGCCUAACACAUGCAAGUCGAACGGCAGCACAGUAAGAGCUUGCUCUUACGGGUGACGAGUGGCGGACGGGUGAGGAAUACAUCGGAAUCUACUUUUUCGUGGGGGAUAACGUAGGGAAACUUACGCUAAUACCGCAUACGACCUACGGGUGAAAGCAGGGGAUCUUCGGACCUUGCGCGAUUGAAUGAGCCGAUGUCGGAUUAGCUAGUUGGCGGGGUAAAGGCCCACCAAGGCGACGAUCCGUAGCUGGUCUGAGAGGAUGAUCAGCCACACUGGAACUGAGACACGGUCCAGACUCCUACGGGAGGCAGCAGUGGGGAAUAUUGGACAAUGGGCGCAAGCCUGAUCCAGCCAUACCGCGUGGGUGAAGAAGGCCUUCGGGUUGUAAAGCCCUUUUGUUGGGAAAGAAAAGCAGCAGGUUAAUACCCCGCUGUUCUGACGGUACCCAAAGAAUAAGCACCGGCUAACUUCGUG
rnacentral:rRNA from 1 species